rnacentral:rRNA from 1 species
GAAAUGCGAUAAGUAAUGUGAAUUGCAGAAUUCAGUGAAUCAUCGAAUCUUUGAACGCACAUUGCGCCCGCCAGUAUUCUGGCGGGCAUGCCUGUCCGAGCGUCAUUUCAACCCUCGAACCCCUCCGGGGGGUCGGCGUUGGGGAUCGGGAACCCCUAAGACGGGAUCCCGGCCCCGAAAUACAGUGGCGGUCUCGCCGCAGCCUCUCCUGCGCAGUAGUUUGCACAACUCGCACCGGGAGCGCGGCGCGUCCACGUCCGUAAAACACCCAACUUCUGAAAUGUUGACCUCGGAUCAGGUAGGAAUACCCGCUGAACUUAAGCAUAUCAAUAA